rnacentral:rRNA from 1 species
UUUUUAACGGAGAGUUUGAUCCUGGCUCAGGACGAACGUUGGCGGCACGCCUAAUGCAUGCAAGUCGAACGAAAUCCCACCGCUUGCGGUGGUGUAUUUAGUGGCAGACGGCUGAGUAACGCGUAACUAAUCUGCCUUUGGGAGGGGAAUAACAAAGGGAAACUUUUGCUAAUACCCCGUACGAUCUGUAUUUUACUUUUUAUAGAUGAAAGGUGUCUUUGACAUCGCCCUUAGAUGAGGUUGCGUACUAUCAGGUAGUUGGUGGGGUAAUGGCCUACCAAGCCUAAGACGGUUAGCUGGU